UACGUAGGGUGCAGGCGUUAAUCGGAAUUACUGGGCGUAAAGCGUGCGCAGGCGGUUAUUUAAGUCAGGUGUGAAAGCCCUGGGCUUAACCUAGGAAUUGCGCUUGAGACUGGAUAGCUUGGAGUGCGGCAGAGGGAGGUGGAAUUCCACGUGUAGCAGUGAAAUGCGUAGAGAUGUGGAGGAACACCGAUGGCGAAGGCAGCCCCCUGGGUCAAGAUUGACGCUCAUGCACGAAAGCGUGGGGAGCAAACAGG
rnacentral:rRNA from 1 species